UAGGGAAUCUUCGGCAAUGGACGAAAGUCUGACCGAGCAACGCCGCGUGAGUGAAGAAGGUUUUCGGAUCGUAAAACUCUGUUGUUAGAGAAGAACAAGGACGUUAGUAACUGAACGUCCCCUGACGGUAUCUAACCAGAAAGCCACGGCUAACUACGUGCCAGCAGCCGCGGUAAUACGUAGGUGGCAAGCGUUGUCCGGAUUUAUUGGGCGUAAAGCGAGCGCAGGCGGUUUCUUAAGUCUGAUGUGAAAGCCCCCGGCUCAACCGGGGAGGGUCAUUGGAAACUGGGAGACUUGAGUGCAGAAGAGGAGAGUGGAAUUCCAAGUGUAGCGGUGAAAUGAGUAGAUAUAUGGAGGAACACCAGUGGAGAAGGCGGCUCUCUGGUCUGUAACUGACGCUGAGGCUCGAAAGCGUGGGGAGCAAACAGG
rnacentral:rRNA from 1 species